rnacentral:snRNA from 1 species
GUGCUCGCUUCAGCAGCACAUAUACUAAAAUUGGAAUGAUACAGAGAAGAUUAGCAUAGCCCCUGCGCAAGGAUGACACGCAAAUUCAUGAAGCGUUCCAUAUAUUU